AUGGAAAAGUUUCCUUUCCUUAUUAAGAGUGGAAGCUCGCUAAUGAAGGGUGUUGAUCAUUACAGAGAAGCACUGCUUGUUUACUCUCAGGGUCUCUGCACGCAGCGCGUUUCUCCCUUUCUCCCUUGUCCCUUCCAGCGAUUGGCCUCGGAGGCCCUGCUCCCCUCCGCUGACAACACGGCUCCUUCUGUUUCCGCUCAGGACCCAAAACUGAAGAUGCGCCAGUUAGUACUGACUGACCUUGACCAUGGUCCUAAGCCUGGACCUCCCGCUCAUUGUGCAUCCGGGGCAGCGGUGAGAGCGUGGGGGCAGCACGGUGAGUACCGGGACCCCCGGCCUCCUGACAGGCUCGGGACUUGCCCUCUUCCCCUCCCCACCCCUCACUUUCAGAAAUAUACACUGAGUACCCAGUGUGUGUGUUUCCGCUCCUGGCUCGAACAAUAUACUUGCUGACUAGAGAGAGGAGGUUUUAUCUUAUUAUUAGCAUUUGGGUAUCACUUGUCUGGUAAUUCUUCCUAUCAGAGAUCUCAGCAUCAAUGAUUUUUUUUUUUUUUUUGUCUUUUUAGAGCCGCACCUGUGCCAUAUGGACGUUCCCAGGCUAGGGGUGGAAUUGGAGCUGUAGCUGCCAGCCUACACCACAGCCACAGCAGCGCAGGAUCCAGGCUGUGUCUGUGACCUACAUUAUAGCUCACGGCAACACCAGAUCCUUAACCCACUCGAGGGAGGCUAGGGAUGGAACCCGCGUCCUCAUGGCUACUCGUCGGGGUUGUUACUACGGAGCCACGAUGGGAACGCCUCAACGAUGUUUUAAACCAGUCUCGUAUGGGUUUUUUAGCAGGAGGAGCGAGUGACAGCUAUGAUAGUGGCCUUCCAGAUGCAAACAGGCUCCAUAGGUUAUGGCACUUGACAUUCGAGUGCGUAUUUUAAUACAGUAGAUUGUCGUGCAUUUACUUUCCGUCUAGCUUGGUGGGGAGGGGGGCACACGUACCAUGGUUAAGGCAUUUGAGUUAGAAAAACCUUGGUUCUUGCCAAGAGGCACUGAGAAAGUUACUUAACUCCUCAAAGCCUGGAUGCCCCAGCUUUGGACGGGUUAUGGGGGGGGGGGCCUUGCAGAGCGGAUGCCCUGACCCCUUUCUCCAGUCUCAACACCCCGUCCUGCUGCUCUCCAUCGAACUGUUUUGGUUUCCUUUCUUUAUAGCACUUGGCAUAAUCCGGUGUGAUUGUCUUUAUUUGGUUAGUGUUUUAUUACACCAGGGCUACACAAGCUUUUUCCUGCCGGGCUCCAUGGUGACGCCCCGUCUCUGAGAACCAGGCUGACAUUUGGCAGGGGCACCAUCACUGUUUGUUGAAUGACUAUCCAAGCACUUCGCACAAUGUCUGCAACAUGUAACACCCAGUAAACGAUCAUCACCAUCACUGUAAACAUCGUGAUGAGGCUACAGUGAGAAUUUUUAAAAUGUCCUUGGAGUGUAGUUGGCUGAACAUGUUGGGUUGGUUUCAGGUGUCCAGAAAAGUCACUCAGGUGUGCGUAUACUUAUAUUCAUUCCUUUUCAGAUUCUUUUCCCACAGAGGGAACCGUGUGUACGUCAAUCCCAUCCUCCAGAUUUAUCCUCCCCCACAUAUUUGGUAGCCGUAAAUUUGGUUUCAAAGUCUUUGGGUUUGUUUCUGUUUUGCAAGUUCUUUUGCAUUGUUUUUAUUGGAUGCCACGCGUUAGUGAUCUCAUAUCAUAUUUGCCUUUCUCUGUCUGGCUUAGCUUCAGUGAGUAUGAUAAUCUCUAGGUCCAACCAUGUUGCUGCACAUGGCGUUAUUUCCUUCUUUUUUAUGGCUGAGUGAUAUUCCCUGGUAUAUAUGGACCGCAUCUUCUUUAUCCAAUCCUCUAUAGGAGAAUUUAAGAGUCAUUAGUAUGAUUUUUUUUUCUCAAGUUUGAUUGGGUGCUUUGGGUCCGUUCUGCAGUUUUCCCUAAACGACCGUCUCUGGUCAGUGACAGCCCUGCACACAGGUCCCAGGUCUCCCUUCCUGCCUGUCUGAAGCCCCGUCAUGGCUUGUGCACAUGCACACUCCCAGGCCUCCUGUCCUGCUCACCUUCCAAGCUGCUUUCUCCUCUAAGGGUGGCUGUUCUCACCCUGAUGCUCUGGUGAGAAGCUUUGGAUUCGCCUCAAUCGCUCUAUCACUUCCCUUAUCCGACCAGUUCACAGAUUCUCCCUCCGAAAUAUUUUUUUGGUCCUCCCUUGCCCAGCUCAUUUGGACUUUCAUGGCAACGAAUAAUGUGGUUAAAUUUUAUUGAACACAGCCUCGGGGCUUGAUAUGCAUUUAAAUCUCCAAAAGCUAGGUAGAUGUCAUUAAUGAUAGUGUCAUGAUCCUUUUACAGAGGAAGGAAAAACAAGGCGCAGAGAGGUUCAGCAGUUUCUUGAACUCCCAAAGCUGCUGACUGUGGGAGCCGGGUUUGGACUGAGAUCUGAUGCCAGGGGCUCCGCCUUCUUUGAAAUCUUCCUAAUUGUCACAGGGUUUCCCUUCUCGAGCCCUCGUCUCCGUCCACACCACCUUCCUCUUUCCUCUGAACGAUCUCUUAAUUACCCUUUAAGAAUCAUCUUGUGGGAGUUCCUGUCGUGGCGCAGUGGUUAACGAAUCCGACUAGGAACCAUGAGGUUGCGGGUUCUAUCCCUGGCCUCACUCAGUGGGUUAAGGAUCCAGCGUUGCCGUGAGCUGUGCUGUAGGUCGCAGACGAGGCUCGGAUCCCGCGUUGCUAUGGCUCUGGCGGAUGCCCGCGGCUGCAACUCUGAUUAGACCCCUAGCCUGGGAACCUUCAUAUGCCAUGGGCGCAGCCCUAAAAAGACAAAAAAAAUAAAAUAAAAUAAGAAUUGUCUUGCA
rnacentral:lncRNA from 1 species